rnacentral:rRNA from 1 species
AAGGGCACCACAAGAACGCGUGGAGCAUGUGGCUUAAUUUGACUCAACGCGGGAAAUCUUACCGGGUCCGGACACACUGAGGAUUGACAGGCAAUAUUAAUACGUGUUCGCACGUAUUAUGUUAAAUAUGCUAGUCCUUUCAUGAUUAUGUGAUAGGUGGUGCAUGGCCGUUCUUAGUUCGUGGAGUGAUCUGUCUGCUUAAUUGCGUUUCACUAAGGGCCUAUAAAUUUACGUGUGUUGCGGCACUUUGACCCCUUUCUUCGGAAAGCGCGCGUCUUAGUUUGCUUUGCUCACACAAUUAGGUCCUGAAAGCAACGAACGUGACCGCAACCUCUUGUUGCCUUUAUACCAAACAUGUUUGACAUUUUUAUGGCAUUCAUGAAAAAAGGCUUUUUAAACUAGAGGGACCGCUGUUACUUUCUUAAACCAGAGGAAGGUUGCGGCAAUAACAGGUCUGUGAUGCCCUUAGAUGUUCCGGGCUGCACACGUGCUACAAUGAUUAUUGCAGUGAGCAUCUCAUUUUUACACACCGCAUGCGCGAGUCCAUUUAUUCACUUCGGUGCUUUAAAUGUGUAUUUCUGCGCGCGGUAAAGCCUGCUUCGAAAGUAAGUGGGUAAUCAAUUAGAAGUAAUGAUUUCCUUUUUAGCACACAUAUAUACGGCGUCUAUACCCGGGUUACCUUGUUGUAACUUUUGUGUGUAUAGAUGUUUUUUCCGUAUGUGCGAUUGUCAAUUCAUGGUGGGGACAGACCAUUGUUAAUUGUUGGUCUCGGUCUUAACUAGGAAUGCCUUGUACGGGUCUUUGAUUCAACAAACCACCCGGAAUACGUCCCUGCCCUUUGUACACACCGCCCGUC